rnacentral:tRNA from 1 species
GCGGAUGUGGCGGAAUGGCAGACGCGCCAGACUUAGGAUCUGGUAUCUAACGAUGUGGGGGUUCAAGUCCCUUCAUCCGCACCA